rnacentral:rRNA from 1 species
UACGAAGGACCCGAGCGUUAUCCGGAUUUAUUGGGUUUAAAGGGUGCGUAGGCGGACCGGUUAGUCAGUGGUGAAAUCCUGCAGCUUAACUGCAAAACUGCCAUUGGAACUGUCGGUCUUGAGUACAUUUGAAGCGGGCGGAAUGUGUCAUGUAGCGGUGAAAUGCUUAGAUAUGACACAGAACACCAAUUGCGAAGGCAGCUCGCUAAACUGUAACUGACGCUGAGGCACGAAAGCGUGGGUAGCAAACAGG